GAUCACAGGACUUCGGAUUUGGU
rnacentral:siRNA from 1 species